UACGUAGGUGACGAGCGUUAUCCGGAAUUAUUGGGCGUAAAGCGUACGCAAGCGGUUGAAUAAGUCUGACGUGAAAUCUCUUGGCUUAACCGAGAGCGGUCGUUGGAAACUAUUCGGCUUGAGGCAAUGAGAGGAAUGCGGAAUCCCGGGUGUAGUGGUGGAAUGCGUAGAUAUCCGGGGGAACAUCAGUGGCGAAAGCGGCAUUCUGGCAUUUGCCUGACGCUCAUGUACGAAAGCGUGGGGAGCGAACGGG
rnacentral:rRNA from 1 species